rnacentral:rRNA from 1 species
ACUCCUACGGGAGGCAGCAGUGGGGAAUAUUGCACAAUGGGGGAAACCCUGAUGCAGCCAUGCCGCGUGUGUGAAGAAGGCCUUCGGUUGUAAAGCACUUUCAGUAGGGAGGAAGGUAGUGUAGUUAACACCUGCAUUAUUUGACGUUACCUACAGAAGAAGCACCGGCUAACUCCGUGCCAGCAGCCGCGGUAAUACGGAGGGGUGCGAGCGUUAAUCGGAAUUACUGGGCGUAAAGCGCAUGCAGGCGGCCUGUUAAGUCAGAUGUGAAAGCCCGGGGGCUUAACCUCGGAAUUGCAUUUGAAACUGGCAGGCUAGAGUCUUGUAGAGGGGGUAGAAUUUCAGGUGUAGCGGUGAAAUGCGUAGAGAUCUGAAGGAAUACCAGUGGCGAAGGCGGCCCCCUGGACAAAGACUGACGCUCAGAUGCGAAAGCGUGGGAGCAAACAGGAUUAGAUACCCUGGUAGACUGUCA